rnacentral:tRNA from 1 species
GGCGAUGUAGCCCAGUGGUAGUGUGUUUGCCUAGCAUGCAAGAGGCCCUGGGUUCCAUCCCUAGCACCACUA